rnacentral:misc_RNA from 1 species
AAGAGUUGCAAAACUCCCUUUACACCAUCGCGAACGUUACCCACAUCGCCGUUGCCUCGGCGGAGCGUUGUCCUGUGCUUCUCAAGUAUAGGGUAACUCCCGCCGGGAGAUCGGCACAACCAAACUCUUAUAAUUAUUGGCCUCUCUGAGUAAGAUUUUUAAAUAAGUCA